CCUACGGGUGGCAGCAGUAGGGAAUUUUUCACAAUGGGCGAAAGCCUGAUGGAGCAACGCCGCGUGCAGGAUGAAGGCCUUCGGGUUGUAAACUGCUUUUAUAAGCGAGAAAUAUGAUGGUAACUUAUGAAUAAGGAUCGGCUAACUCCGUGCCAGCAGCCGCGGUAAUACGGAGGAUGCGAGCGUUAUCCGGAUUUAUUGGGUUUAAAGGGUGCGUAGGCGGGUUAUCAAGUCAGCGGUAAAAUCGUGGAGCUCAACUCCAUCCAGCCGUUGAAACUGAUGAUCUUGAGUGGGCGAGAAGUAUGCGGAAUGCGUGGUGUAGCGGUGAAAUGCAUAGAUAUCACGCAGAACUCCGAUUGCGAAGGCAGCAUACCGGCGCCCGACUGACGCUGAAGCACGAAAGCGUGGGUAUCGAACAGGAUUAGAUACCCGAGUAGUC
rnacentral:rRNA from 1 species